UCUAUUUGAUUUCAUUUGAAACUAGACUUAUUAAGGAGUCUAAGCAUAUAAAUUUUAUCUUAUAACCAUUUUUGUACAAAUUAUAAUGAUUUUCUAAAAACAGAACAGGGGAUUUCAGAGUCAUUCUGACACUGUCUCACACAACUUUAAAUAUCUCUUUAUAGGAAAUUUGUUUUCUUACACGGUCUCUUUUAUAAGAAACUAGACUAAUUACGCUUUGAUUACAUAUUUUAUUCAGCCUAUAAUUCCACACCAACAAUUUAUAGUGAUUUUAUAAAAUCACGUUACUGCUGCUGUCUUAAGCAAAUUAUUACAAUUUGCUCUUAAAUUUCCAAGUCCAAACACUUAUGAACUUACCAUUUGAGUUUAAGACAUAUCAUGGCCACAUCAUAUCUUAUUAAAUCAACUCAUUAUGUCUUAUGAUUGAAUUUACUCAAUGUUUAAUCACUUAAAACUUACCUCGGAAGUUGCCGAACGAUUACGACGGCUCUUCGAUCACUUUUUCCUUUCCCUUGUCCAACUUUGAUCCUCUAGGCUCUUGAGCUAAAUCAAACAAUUCAAUACAUAUCAUACAUUUUAUACUAGCCGAAAUGUACCAUCAAGAUAUACUUUACUCAAAUAAUUUACCUUGGCCGAUCAUGUAUAAUGUUUUGUAGCUUAAUAAAUUUAACAUACAUUAUGUAUUUAUAAUAUUUGUGCAGCCAAUUAUCCAUGGUCAUACACACACAAUCAAAAAUAAAUACCAAAUUUUUCAUAUCCUUUAUGCCCUAAGCCGAAUACACUUGUCAUGUUCACCUACAUUUUUCAAGUAAAAAAUUCUCAUAUUCGGCAUUAGUAUCAAGCAUAAUAGCCAAUUCUUCCCACCUUGAAUCUAUGCAUCUAUUUAAUCAUAGUUUGUUCAAGCACUCAUACAACAAGAUACAUCCAAUUUAACAAGAAACAAAAACCUUAUUUCUCCAUAGCUACUAUGGCCGAAAGUUCUAGGCAUCUCAAUACCGAAAUUUUUAACAUGGGUUGCCUAAAGAACUUGGUGAUGAGUUCAAAUUAAUCUAACAUUUCAAGCAACUUAACACAUCCAUAUAACUAAAAAAAUUCUAAGUUUAAACACAAUACAACAUUUUAGCACCAUGGCCGAAUACUUCAUGAAGUUGUUAAGACCCAUCCUUUUUAUUAAGCACUCAAACUCAAUCAUCUUCAUGCCUCAUCACCACAACAUCAAACACCAACCAAGAAGACAACACCCAUGGCCGAGUACCAUCUCCAUCAAAUAGCAAAAGAAUUUAAACCAACAUCUAGAAAUAUGCAUGAAUUUCAUGGAAUAACAUCAAACAUACCUCUUCCUAAACAUCAACCAACCGAACAUGAAGCAAGAGAAUCCUCUUCUUCUUCCUUCCUCAAAUCACGGCAAUGGGGGAGCAUGGAUGAGACAACUUUGUUUUCAUCACCCCUCCCUUUUCAUUACUUUAUUACUAACCUUUUAUUUUAUUAUUUCUAACAUAAAACAUUAACACAAAAUGUUUAUAAUAUGCUUUAACCCAUAGCAUAGCCGGCCACUACCUAAAGUUUUGGGAAAUUUGACAUGCAAGGACAAGCAUUUUCUAACAUGCAUCAAUAGGCCACUUUAACAUUUGCCUAGCACAUUUCUAAAUUUUCUCACACAAGUCCUAUUUAAUAAAAUUCACUUACAAUUAACAAAAUUCAAACAUGAAAUUUUCACACAUGCAUAUUUAUAUAUAAUAAGCAUCAAAUAUGACGGUUAAUUAUUUUUAUGACUCGGUUUUGUGGUCCCGAAACCACUUUCCGACUAGGGUCACAUUAGGGGUGUCACAACUCUUCCCCCCUUUAGGGAUUUUCGUCCCCGAAAAUUUCUACCGAUGCCUAGUUUAGGAUAACGUCCUCUUAUUGAAUUAUAUCCAUAUAAAUAUUAGCUCAUCGAUAGCAAUUGUAAUUCGUUACUGAUUUUGCAUCGAUCUAUAAAAUCAUUUUCUUAUCUUAAAACAAAUACAUAAACAUUUCUACAAGUAUGCACAUAUAUCUCAUUUUCUUGAUUUCAUAAGCAAUAAUCACUUAAUUUAAUUCACAAAUGCAUUUCAAACACAUAUUAAGCACAUAUUAACAUGUAUAAUUCACAUCAUCAACCCACAUAUUUGUAACCCACAUUUUCAUUCAUGUAUAAGCUGUAACCUGACUGAAAGUACACAUAUACUCAAACUUCCCAAUAAAUAUCCUUUAUAACUCCAUCAUAUCUCACUAUUCAACUUAACCUAUUUCCAACAGAAAAUCAACUUCCACAUACCUGAACAUUAAAUUCAUUUAGCACAUUCAAUCACCGUUAACGAUACCCGUAUACAAUCGAUUUGGCAUAAAGCCUCAUAUAUUAUACCGGCAUGGGAUUUAUUUUAGCACAUAACCCAUAUAUCCAAAAUUAUCAGCAUUCAUCCAAAAUUCUUACAGACUUUCAAAUGUCGAACUUAAUCGAAAUAAUUUCUUGAACAUGAUUAACAAAAAUAGGGGUCAUUUAGCAAUAGCACAUAUGACUUCAUAUACCAAGCAUUCCAUAAACUAAAUCUGUAACACAUUUAUAACAUGAAUUCAUUUCUUAACAACAUAUCCACCAUCUUAAAUCAAUGCCUUCGUUCCAUACAAGGUCUUACAUGAAUCUUGUUUUACUCACUUAAUGUCUACUGACCGAUCUCGCACACACAUAGUGCUCGGUUGAAGAACUCGCACUCUCAGUGCCUCUAAUCAUUUGCACAUAUAGUGCCCCUAUUCAUUUGUUGUUACACAUUGAAAUGACUUAACCAAGUCUAUAAACCUCAUGUAUGUACACUUUUAAACAUAUCCUUUCAUUUAAAUUUGAAUUCGUAUAGUAAUGAACACUUAAACUUUGCUCAAAUUACCGGCACGAAGCCUACUAGGCACGGAGGCCCGAAUGCACAUCACCAGCAUGAUUGCUCUUCGGGACCUAGCCCGGAUAUAACACCAGCACGAAUGCUCUUCGGGACUUAGCCCGGAUAUAACACCAGCACGAAUGCUCUUCGGGACUUAGCCCGGAUAUAACACCAGCACGAAUGCUCUUCGGGACUUACCCCGGAUCUAACACCAGCACGAAUGCUCUUCGGGACUUAGCCCGGAUGUAACAUCAGCCCGAAUGCUCUUCGAGACUUAGCCCGGAUAUAACAUCAGCACGAAUGCUCUUCGGGACUUAGCCCGGAUAUAACAUCAGCACGAAUGCUCUUCGGGACUUAGCCCGGACAUAACACCAGCACGAAUGCUCUUCGGGACUUAGCCCGGCUAUAUAACUCUCAAUUCUCAUGUACAUAUACAUAUAUAACAAUACACAUUAGUAUAUCAUUUACAUUACUUGAAUACAAACACAACAUGCUUAUCGACCAUUCAACUUUCAGUUCCAUAGCCACAUACAAAGAUCACAUUUAUAGUCGUAACACUCUUUCAAAAUUGCAUCACUUAUACCCUUAUAAUUCAAUCCAAAUCAAAAUUCAAAUACGAGUACAUGAUACGUACCUGAUCAACUUAAUGAUUUAAGCAUAUCCAAGUGAAGUUAUAUCGCAAAUUCUCAUAGUCAGAAGCUUGCUACAGCUCGAUCUGGAUCAAAAUUCAUUACAAUACAACAAACACAUUUUAAUAGUAAAAAAUCAUCACACUAUCACUUUAUCACUUUAUGGCAUGUAUAAAUAGACUCACGCGUGCUAGUUAGUCCUAGAAUCGACUAAACCGUAGCUCUGAUACCAAUAAAAUGUAACACCCCUAUCCCGUAUCCGUCGCCGGAAUAGGUAAAGGGGCAUUACCGGACUUGAAACUCAUAUCCGAACAGUAAAAAUUUUGGAUAUUUUUUUAUAAAGAACGUUCCUUUAGGUAAAUUGUGACAGCCCAAAAUUGACCCUAGUCGGGAAGUGGUUUCGGGACCGCUAAAUCGAGUCACCGAAAUGUUGGAAUGUGAUAUUUAUUGUCUAGAAUAUGUAAUUAUGAAUGUGUGAAAAUUUCAAGCUUCGAUUUAGUCGAUUGCUUGUGAAUUUAGUCAAUAGGACUUAUGUGAGAAAAUUUUGAAAUGUGAUAGGUCAAAGCAUAAGGGCCUAUUAGUGCAUGUUGAAAAAGGGGGGACUUGCAUGUCAAUUUCCCCCCUAUUAGUAGUGGCUGGCCAUGACAAGCAUGGUAGACCAAGUGUGAUGGGCAAGACAUGUCAUAGACAUGUUGGGUUGGUGCAUCAUGGGUGGAAAAAAAUAAAAUAAUGAGCAUGGAAAUUAAAUAAUGAAAGAGAAUAUGAUGAAAACAAAAAAAAGUGUGUGGUUGUUUCUCCCCCCCCAUUUUGCCGAAACUAGAAAGAAAAACAAAAAAAAAAAGUGUUCAUCCUUUGGUUCAUCCUUGGCCAAAAAUUUUAAGGAGGAAGGAAGAAGAAAGGUUGAAGAGGUUCAGCCAUGCAUAUAACUAGGCUAAGGUAUGUUUGAUGAUGUUCCAUGAGAUGCAUGCAUGUUUUAGUUGUUAGCUUGAGUUCUACCUAGCCCAUGGUCUAAAUCUUGCUAUGUGAUGGAAAUGACACUCGGCCAUGGAUGCAUCAUUCUUGGUUGAUGUUUGAUGUUGUGGUGAUGAGGCAUGAAGAUGAGUUAAGUUUCGGCUAAGGUGGAUUUGUGUUGAUGUCAUUUGCAUGCUAAGUGUAAAGCUUUGUAAUGAUGCAUGUGAUGGUGGAUUGAUGAUUCUUGAAUCUUCUUUUUAGCAUUUUUGAGUGAGCACAUAUGUGCAUUGGUUGCUAGAUGGAGAAGAAUCGGCUAGCAAGUUGUGUGCUAAGGCCGAAUAUAAUUUUUGUAUAUUAAUGAGUAAUGCAUGUGUUAAAUUGAUGGAAAGGGAGAGGAUGCUUUACUAGUGUAUAUAUGUGUGUAUUAGCCAAGUUUUGAACUUGAAACAAAAGGGUGUUUAGUCAAUACAAGUGACCAUACUUGUAGAAUGUAUUAAGUGUUGAAAUCGGCCCCAAAAUAGACAUGCAUAUUCGGCCAAGGGGGAAAAAUUAGCUAAAAUGUUGAGUUUGAUUCAUGAUUCCGUACAUAUGUGACUUUAAUGUCUAAUGUAUAAAUAUGGGCUAAGUGCCUUGUGUUCCUCUUUUCGAUGCUCAAAUGAUUAAAUCAAUUUAUUUGUUUAAUUAAGCUCAAGAGCAAAGGGGAACUAAAUCCGAUAAAGGGAAGGAAAAAGUGGUCGAAUAGCUAUCGGAAUCGUUCGACAACAUCCGAGGUAAGUUCUUGAGUAAAAGAGCUUAAAUUAUGAUUUGAUUAGAUCAUGUUUUAAGCAAAUUAAAAUCAUGCUCUUUGUGUGGCUAUUGAGCCGAAAUUGCAAGAAUGAUAAGUGUAUUGUGUUCGAGUUUUGCUAACGAAAAUGAAAUUCGAAUGUGCCAUGAUUUAUUGUUAAAUGUGCAUGGUUAUUUGAAUGAUGUCCGGGCUAAGUCCCGAAGGUUUUGUGCUAAGUGACCAUAUCCGGACUAAGAUCCGAAGGCAUUUGUGCGAGAUACUAAUUCCGGGCUAAGCCCGAAGGCAUUUGUGCGAGAUACUAAUUCCGGGCUAAGCCCGAAGGCAUUUGUGCGAGUUACUAAAUCCGGGUUAAGUCCCGAAGGCAAUUGUGCGAGUUACUAUAACCGGGCUAUGUCCCGAAGGCAUUUGAACGAGUAGCUAUAUCCGGUUAAAUUUCGAAGGUACGUGAUUUGGGAAUGAAUGAUCUUGCUGUAAAAAUUUCAGUAAAUACUCUAGAAACAUCCCAACAUUGAGGUAUGUUUCGUAUGUGCUUGAAUUUAGUUGAGCCCUUACAAAUAAGUAUUCGCUCAGUUGAUAAACGAGCUACCGGCUUUUGGCUAAGUUGAUCUUUCGUGUAUGUACAUAAGGGUUGGUAAUGUGAAGCAAGUAUGAUAUUGAAAAAUUGUGCAUAUGAAAUUAUCCGUUUAGCUACAUGAAUGCUAUACUUUUGUUGUGCUGGAAUUCCUUGCUCAAAACUUACUAAGCAUAAAUUGCUUACUCCGUUUCUUUGAUCCUCUAUUUUAUAGAUUUUGGUUCUCCAGCUAUCGGACUCGGGAUUUUGAAGUCGAAGUCGCCCACACUAUCAAAGCCCCCCCCUUUUUGGUACAAUUUUAGUUGAACUUCGAAAUGGCAUGUAUAGGACUAUCCGUUUGUUGUGGGUCAUGGACCCUUUGGACUUGUAUAAUUUUGGAUAGCCAUGCGAAAAUGGCUUAUAUGUGUUUGAGUAUAAUGUUAUAAUCAUUUGGUGUGGAUAUGCUUGACAAGGAUUGGCCAUGGGAAUGGUUAAUCACUAUCAUAAAUUGUGCUAUUUAUGCAAAAAGGGCUAGUUGAAUCAUGGAAACCAUGAAAUAGGUAAAGUCUACCUUAAAGGCAGAUGCUGACAGCAGCAGUGAUGUAGAUUUGGAAAAUCACUAAAAAUAGUAGGAAUGGAAUUAAAUAGUGAAUAAAUUAUGUAAACGAACCUUGAUGAAUCUAUUUUCAUAGGAAAGUAACGAAACAAUCAUACGGACAGUAUGUUAAGAGAUAUUCAGGUUCUUGUGAGACAGGGCCAGAACGGUUUCUGGAUUUCCUGUUCCGACUUUGGAAAUUCAUUAAAAAUUAACCAGAGACAAUUAGGAGUCAAUCCAUAUAUUUAUAGAUUCCUCUUUGAGUCUAGUUUCUAUAUAAACAAACGGCAUCAGUAUUGAAGCCUUGUACAGGGAGAUAUCUAAGUCGUAAUGCGCAAAGGUCAGUGUAGUCAAUCCCUGUAACAUGGGAGAUUUUGACUAAUAAACUGUACAAAUUGGCCCAACCAAAAAUUCUAGAAAAAAAUACGUAGAUGAGAAUAUGACUCUAGUUUCAGGGAAAAUUUACGGAACUGGAUUCCGAGUUUCUGAACUCAAGAUAUGAUUUUUAAAGCGACUAUUACGCAGAUUGGCAGUGUCUGGAAAAUUUUUAAAGUCUGUUAACACCUCGUGUUCGACUCCGGUGACGGUCUCGGGUUCGGGGUGUUACAUAAAUACUAAAGACAGUUAGGGAUAUAAUUUAACUGCUAUAAGUACACAUUCAAAAGAUGCCAUUUUCGCAUGGCUUAUAUACAUUAACCAAAAUAUUCUUCGGCCACUGGUCUAUUCUUUACAUGCCAUAAAAUAAUUCAAAACAUAACAGUAACAAGCAGUGGAUAGAGAUAGUGUGACUAGUUGCUGACGAUCCCCGAGCCUGUAGCUUCCAAAUGAGAUCUAUAAAACAGAGGAAACAAAGUAAACGGAGUAAGCAUUACAAUGCUUAGUAAGUUGUAAGCAGUGUCAACAGAUAACAAUCAAAUUAUAACAUAGUUGUUCGUAUUUUUAUUUCACUCUUCCUUCGGGCAUACCAUCCCUUUACCGAAUAUGCCCAUCUCAUCAUAUAUAAUAGGCAGAUAAAUUCUCACUUGAUAGUGAUCUCUUAUAAACAUAGGUACAUUACAUAUUUUCACCUAACUUUCCACAUUGACCAAACGCACAAUAAUCAUAGAACAGUCUUAUUGCUUUACUCACAUAUGCAUCACAUAACGACCUUGUGAUUUAGUCCAAAUCAAGCUUAAAUAUAAUCUCAAAAUACAUACGUGACCAGCUUAACGCAUUGAACGUAUUUAUUACCAAUUGUUACUGUGAAGUCGUAUAAUCUUAUGCUUUAGUCGAAUCUUCAGCGAAACCUUUAGCUCGAAUAGUCCCCACACGUAGUUAUCGGGUCUUACCCGGACAAAAUCUCCACACGUAGUCAUCAGGUCUUACCCGGAAUAUAUUUCCAAGUUUCAUGUACAUUUAAUCACAUGUUACAACAUUCACAUCGACUGUCAUAUUUGUAAUUCAUUUGCCUCAUCAAAUAUCUAAUAAUACACACCUUUCACAUUUGGUCAUUCGGCCACAAUAUACACACAUCUCCUACAUAUUUCACACUAGUCAUUCGGCUUUACCACAUAUACAUAUCUCAUACAUAUUUCACAUUAGCCAUUCGGCUUUACCACAUAUACAUAUCUCAUACAUAUUUCACAUUAGCCAUUUGGCUUUACCACAUAUACAUAUCUCAUUCAUAUUUCACACUAGCCAUUCGGAUUUACCACAUAUACAUAUCUCAUACAUAUUUCACAUUAGCCAUUCGGCUUUACCACAUAUACAUAUCUCAUACAUAUUUCACAUUAGCCAUUCGGCUUUACCACAUAUACAUAUCUCAUUCAUACUUCACACUAGCCAUUCGGCUUUACCACAUAUACAUAUCUCAUAUAUAUUUCACACUAGCCAUUCGGCUUUACCACAUAUACAUAUCUCAUACAUAUUUCACAUUAGCCAUUCGGCUUUACCACAUAUACAUAUCUCAUACAUAUUUCACACUAGCCAUUCGGGUUUACCACAUAUACAUAUCUCAUAUAUAUUUCACAUUAGCCAUUCGGCUUUACCACACACAUAUAUAUUUAUCUUGUACAUCAAUUUCAGCAAUAGCUUAUAAGCAACUCAAAUAGUUUCAUCAAUGUUUACAACAAAUUCACAUAUUCACUACAAGUUGUUUUCCCGAGCAAUAGUCACAAAUUAUUUAUAAGUGGAGAUACAAAACUCAAAAUCAAUUUCCGUUAAUUUUCCCUGAAUAUAGACUCAUGUAUCUUCCAUCCAUAAAAUUUUUAGAAUUUUAGGUUUGGCCAAUCAAUACCAGAUUUUUCUUAAAGUUUCCCCUGUUUCACUAUUUGAAUAAUCUGACCACUCUUCACUACGAAUCAAAUUUCUCAUUGUACAGAUUUCAAAAUAUGUUCUAUUUGAUUAAAUUUGAAACUAGACUCAUUAAGGAGUCUAAGCAUAUAAAUUUUAUCUGAUAACCAUUUUUGUACAAAUUAUAAUGAUUUUCUAAAAACAGAAUAGGGGAUUUCGGAGUCAUUCUGACACUAUCUCACACAACUUUAAAUAUCUCUUUAUAGGAAAUUUCUUUGCUUACACGGUCUCUUUUAUAAGAAACUAGACUAAUUAAGCUUUGAUUACAUAUUUUAUUCAGCCUAUAAUUCCACACCAACAAUUUAUAGUGAUUUUAUAAAAUCACGUUACUGCUGCUGUCCUAAGCAAAUUAUUACAAUUUGCUCUUAAAUUUCCAAGUCCAAACACUUAUGAACUUACCAUUUGAGUUUAAGACAUAUCAUGGCCACAUCAUAUCUUAUUAAAUCAACUCAUUAUGUCCUAUUAUGAUUGAAUUUACUCAACGUUUAAUCACUUAAAACUUACCUCGGAAGUUGCCGAACG
rnacentral:lncRNA from 1 species